rnacentral:rRNA from 1 species
GACGAACGCUGGCGGCGUGCUUAACACAUGCAAGUCGAACGGAAAGGCCCUGCUUUUGUGGGGUGCUCGAGUGGCGAACGGGUGAGUAACACGUGAGUAACCUGCCCUUGACUUUGGGAUAACUUCAGGAAACUGGGGCUAAUACCGGAUAGGAGCUCCUGCUGCAUGGUGGGGGUUGGAAAGUUUCGGCGGUUGGGGAUGGACUCGCGGCUUAUCAGCUUGUUGGUGGGGUAGUGGCUUACCAAGGCUUUGACGGGUAGCCGGCCUGGGAGGGUGACCGGCCACCAUGGGCCUGCGGUACGGCCCAGACUCCUACGGGAGGCAGCAGUGGGGAAUAUUGCACAACGGGCGGAAGCCUGAUGCAGCGACGCCGCGUGCGGGAUGACGGCCUUCGGGUUGUAAACCGCUUUCGCCUGUGACGAAGCGUGAGUGACGGUAAUGGGUAAAGAAGCACCGGCUAACUACGUG